UACGGAGGGGGCAAGCGUUGUUCGGAAUUAUUGGGCGUAAAGGGCGCGUAGGUGGCCCUGUAAGUCAAAGGUGAAAUCCCUCGGCUCAACCGAGGAAUUGCCCUUGAAACUGCAGGGGCUUGAGGCCGGGAGGGGGUAGCGGAAUUCCCAGUGUAGCGGUGAAAUGCGUAGAUACUGGGAGGAACACCGGUGGCGAAGGCGGCUACCUGGACCGGUUCUGACACUGAUGCGCGAAAGCGUGGGUAGCAAACAGGAUUAGAUACCCGAGUAGU
rnacentral:rRNA from 1 species